UAAAGAAGGCAUGUCUUUCUAGAGCCUGGAACAAAGGCGCACGCCUAGGUGCAUAAGGCGCUAGGAUUACAGCAUAGUAACCAUUGAACUUGAGGUGUGCCUUUAAUAACAAUGCAUAUCAAAAAGCAUUCAAUUAGGACUUGAGAGAAGCAUCUAAUAUUUAAAUCUAUUUGUUAUUUGGUCCUUAUAUUCAAAAGAAAAAUCAUCCCAUUCUUUGGAGGAGAGGAAUAGAAGUAAGCAAUAAUUAGUUAUAACUUAUCAACCAAACAGAACCAUUUAAAUUAAAUUUUUUGGUUUGGUUUUUAAAAAUUCGGUUAGGUUUUAAUUAGUAAAUAUUCAAAAGUUAGUUUUUAAGUUAUUUAAUUUAGUAAAAAUUCAAAUUACCCGAAUUGAACCAUUUUAUCCUCUGCAUAAUACACUAACAUUUUAACCCUAGGUAUACAAGCAAACUUUUCCUCUUCUCACCUCACUGUCCCUUCCCCUUUCUCUGUCUCACUCUCACGUAACCACCCACGAUUUGCUCUCAAUUCUGCUUUCCUUUCCUUUCUUCAUUCUUGCUCGCCCUAUCCUCUCUCCACUCAUAUACCGUCAUAAUCCACCCAGCCAGUCUCUCCUAAACUUGCAUCCUCUCAUCUCAUCUAGGUCUUGGACUUUAUUUAAAUGGGAAGUGCUAGUCCAUACAUCCAUUGAGUGAUUUGAAGAACAAGUCAGUGACUACCGGAAAUCCCACAGUUGCAAAGUGGAGUCACCAUUGUUGUCGUUGUUGUGCUUCCUUCACCUAUUUAAUUUAAUGGGUAUUUUGUACAUUAUUGAAUUGCAUGCAGGGUUCUUGAUUUCUUGUGUUUAGUUUUUGGUUUUUUUUAUUUGAAUGGGAUAUUUGAAUUGCAUACAAAUUUGUACACACAUGACAGAUUUGAGUUUACAGAUCUCUAUGUACAGAUAUUUGACAUAGAUUUGAGCGUUAACUUCUUUGAGUGAGGCUAUUUCAUCUAUUAAUUAAGGAUUAAUUUAUGAUUAAUUUGUUUAAUUUAUAUUUUUGUAUUUUGUUUAAUUGUUGUAUUUUCGAUGUUUGUGUUUUGAGCAUGUUGUUGAGGAUGAGGACUUGAGGUUGAGGUCUCUAUCUAUAGCACUCUACUGGAUUAGAACCUUUCAUCUUUCUCAUCAGAACCAAUCCAAACCAUAACAAUGCAGUUCAGUUCAAUUUGAUUUCUCUAUCAAUACGGUUCGGUUUGGUUCAAGAAUAAAUUGACCAAAUGGUCACCCUUAAAGAGGGAAGGAGGGCGACAAAGUUGGCUAAAACUGAAUAUUCUUAUAUUACAAACUCAAUCUACAAAAUCAAAUGCCUCUCAGAUAAUCCAAAUUUUCAUCGAAAGACAGGUUAUAAAAGGCACAAAAACUUGUAAAUGCUGAUGAAGGAA
rnacentral:misc_RNA from 1 species